UACGUAGGGUGCAAGCGUUAAUCGGAAUUUCUGGGCGUAAAGCGUGCGCAGGCGGCUAUGCAAGACAGAUGUGAAAUCCCCGGGCUCAACCUGGGAACUGCAUUUGUGACUGCAUGGCUAGAGUACGGUAGAGGGGGAUGGAAUUCCGCGUGUAGCAGUGAAAUGCGUAGAUAUGCGGAGGAACACCGAUGGCGAAGGCAAUCCCCUGGACCUGUACUGACGCUCAUGCACGAAAGCGUGGGGAGCAAACAGG
rnacentral:rRNA from 1 species